rnacentral:rRNA from 1 species
UACGGAGGGGGCGAGCGUUAUUCGGAAUUAUUGGGCGUAAAGGGCGCGUAGGCGGCCCGGUAAGUCAAAGGUGAAAUCCCUCGGCUCAACUGAGGAACUGCCUUUGAAACUGUCGGGCUUGAGGCCGGGAGGGGGUAGCGGAAUUCCCAGUGUAGCGGUGAAAUGCGUAGAUAUUGGGGAGGAACACCAGUGGCGAAGGCGGCUACCUGGACCGGUUCGUGGACGCUGAUGCGCGAAAGCGUGGGUAGCAAACAGG